rnacentral:tRNA from 1 species
GGUUGUGGCUCAGGGGUAGAGCGCUCACCUCCCAUUUGUGAGACCCUGGGUUCGAUCCUCAGCACCA